AUUGAACGCUGGCGGCAUGCUUUACACAUGCAAGUCGAACGGCAGCGCGGGCUUCGGCCUGGCGGCGAGUGGCGAACGGGUGAGUAAUACAUCGGAACGUGCCCAGUAGUGGGGGAUAGCUCGGCGAAAGCCGGAUUAAUCCCGCAUACGACCUGAGGGUGAAAGCGGGGGAUCUUCGGACCUCGCGCUAUUGGAGCGGCCGAUGGCAGAUUAGCUAGUUGGUGGGGUAAAGGCCUACCAAGGCGACGAUCUGUAGCUGGUCUGAGAGGACGACCAGCCACACUGGGACUGAGACACGGCCCAGACUCCUACGGGAGGCAGCAGUGGGGAAUUUUGGACAAUGGGCGAAAGCCUGAUCCAGCAAUGCCGCGUGUGUGAUGAAGGCCUUCGGGUUGUAAAGCACUUUUGGCGGGAACGAAAAGGACUGUGCCAAUACCACGGUUCGAUGACGGUACCCGCAGAAUAAGCACGGGCUAACUACGUG
rnacentral:rRNA from 1 species